ACGCUGAUGGACGAAAGCGUGGGGAGCGAACAGGAUUAGAUACCCUGGUAGUCCACGCCGUAAACGAUGCUAACUCGUUUUUGGGUUUUCGGAUUCAGAGACUAAGCGAAAGUGAUAAGUUAGCCACCUGGGGAGUACGUUCGCAAGAAUGAAACUCAAAGGAAUUGACGGGGGCCCGCACAAGCGGUGGAUUAUGUGGUUUAAUUCGAUGAUACGCGAGGAACCUUACCAAGGCUUAAAUGGGAAUUGAUCGGUUUAGAAAUAGACCUUCCUUCGGGCAAUUUUCAAGGUGCUGCAUGGUUGUCGUCAGCUCGUGCCGUGAGGUGUUAGGUUAAGUCCUGCAACGAGCGCAACCCCUGUCGCUAGUUGCCAUCAUUCAGUUGGGGACUCUAGUGAGACUGCCUACGCAAGUAGAGAGGAAGGUGGGGAUGACGUCAAAUCAUCACGGCCCUUACGCCUUGGGCCACACACGUAAUACAAUGGCCGGUACAGAGGGCAGCUACACAGCGAUGUGAUGCAAAUCUCGAAAGCCGGUCUCAGUUCGGAUUGGAGUCUGCAACUCGACUCUAUGAAGCUGGAAUCGCUAGUAAUCGCGCAUCAGCCAUGGCGCGGUGAAUACGUUCCCGGGCCUUGUACACAAAGCGCGUCAAGCCAUGGAAGUCUGGGGUACCUGAAGUCGGUG
rnacentral:rRNA from 1 species